CUUGCCUAGUGGGAGGGACACAAGCCAAAGUUACGGGUGCCGGAUCCCGCAGCUCAUGGGUCAUGGAGCCCGGGCCUGCCGCGUCCCCCGGGCCUUCCCGCUCCUUCAAAGAGGAGCUGCUCUGCGCCGUCUGCUACGACCCCUUCCGCGAUGCGGUGACGCUGCACUGUGGCCACAACUUCUGCCGCGGGUGCGUGAGCCGCUGCUGGGAAGUGCAAGUGGCGCCCACCUGCCCCGUGUGCAAGGACCGGGCGUCACCCGCCGACCUGCGCACCAACCACACCCUGAACAACCUGGUGGAGAAGCUGCUGCGCGAGGAGGCCGAGGGCGCGCGCUGGACAGGCCCGCGAUCCCCGCGCCUCUGCCGCUUGCACCGCGGCCAGUUGAGUCUCUUCUGCCUCGAGGACAAGGAGCUGCUCUGCUGCUCAUGCCAGGCCGACCCCCGCCACCGGGGACAUCGCAUGCAGCCAGUGAAGGACACUGCCCACGACUUUCGGGCCAAGUGUAGAAACAUGGAGUACACACUGCGGGAGAAAGCCAAGGCCUUCUGGGCCAUGCGACGCUCCUACGAGGCCAUCGCCAAGCACAAUCAGGUGGAGGCUGCGUGGCUGGAAGGCCGCAUCCGGCAGGAGUUCGACAAGCUCCGUGAGUUCCUGAGGGUGGAGGAGCAGGCUGUUCUGGACGCUGUGGCCCAGGAGACCAGGCAGAAGCAGCUCCUGGCCGAUGAGAAGAUGAAGCAACUCACAGAAGAGACGGAGGUGCUGGCCCACGAGAUUGAGCGGCUGCAGAUGGAACUGAAGGAAGACGACAUCUCUUUUCUCAUGAAACACAAGAGCCGAAAGCGCCGGCUCUUCUGCACCGUGGAGCCGGAGCCCAUCCAGCCCGGCAUGCUCAUCAACCCCUGCCGGUACCUGGACUCCCUGCAGUACCGCGUGUGGAAGAAGAUGAUCAGUUCCAUCAAAUCUGUGCCCUUCAGCUUCGAUCCCAACACUGCAGCAGGCUGGCUCUCGGUGUCUGAUGACCUCACCAGCGUCACCAACCAUGGCUACCGCGUGCAGGUGGAAAACCCAGAGCGCUUCUCCUCAGCACCCUGCCUGCUGGGCUCCUGCACCUUCUCUCAGGGCUCCCAUGCUUGGGAGGUGGCCCUGGGUGACCUGCAGAGCUGGCGGGUGGGUGUGGUGCGGGUGCAGCCAGAUACAGGUGCAGAAGGCCACUCACACAGCUGCUACCAUGACACACGCUCUGGCUUCUGGUACGUGUGCCGCACGCAGGGUGUGGAGGGGGACCACUGUGUGACCUCGGACCCGGCCACCUCGCCCCUGGUCCUGGCCAUCCCGCGCCGCCUACGUGUGGAGCUGGAGUGCGAAGAGGGCGAGCUGUCCUUCUAUGAUGCUGAACAUAACUGCCACCUAUACACCUUCCAUGCACGCUUCGGGGAGGUGCGGCCCUACUUUUACCUUGGGGGUGCGCGGGGUGAUGGGCCCCCUGAGCCCUUGAGCAUCUGCCCCUUGCGCAUCACUAUAAAGGAAGAGCUGGACAUCUGAACUGGCCCAGGCCUGCUGGAUGCUGUGCCGUGGGCUUGCUUGAUUCCUGCCUCUUCCUGAAGCCCACCCCCGGCCUCAGCACCUCUGCCCACUACCUUUUGAGGUGCCAGCAUCCUCUGCCAUUCCGUCUUGCCUUUUUCUGUGACUCUAGGCCCUAUGCCUCGUCUUUAUUUUUGGUCCCUUCUCUGCUCAGUUAAAAGCCAUCCAGGAAGUACCUCACUGGGUCCAGGCUCUACCCAGGGUGUGAAUUUUUAAGUCCUCAUUUGAGAAUUUCUGGAGAAAAUGUUUACUUCUAGAACAGGCCUGUUUUAAAAUGUAGGUUUUAUUAUUUUCCAGGUAUGGUUAAACCAACUAAUCAGGAGAUGACUGCUGUUGGAAAGAGUCUGUCACUCAUUUCCCAGCCAUGCCACAUGGAGCCACACAGGAAAGCACUAGGGUCCACCCGUGUCAUUGGCAAGAGCUAUGUGUCCCAAAGAAGAGAAGACAGCUGCCUACAGUCUUCAAGAAUCUGGGUGUGGUACCAGAGGCUUUGCCUCAUGUUUUGAGCCUGGAGAAAAAGAGUCAUAAUGUUUUGGGCAUAGCAGAAGAUUCUAGAGAGGAGCAGAUCUUUACAAAUCAUAAAAUUAGUCAUCGUAUCAUGCACAAUGAAAUUGUGUUGUCAUGUUCCAAAAUGGUUCAUGUAGCUGUAUGCAUGAAGAUGAUGUCAAAUACUGACUCAUGCCCAGUGAAGGUGAUCUUAAUGAUAGUGAUUUGGAUUGGACAAAGACAAUCGUUAGUGAUGGGAGAAGCUGAGCUUAUUAAUAUUCCCUUCAGGAUUUCAGAAAGAACAGAACUUUGUGCCCCGGCCUGUCCCACCUUCUCCUUCCAACAGUAACCAGAGGGUGGGAAGACAGGUCAGUAAGGACUGAGUCUGAUGGCAAGGGAAGCCUUCCUGCUCUGGGGUGUUGUUUGUCCUUGUUUGUGGGUGUUGCUCCGGUGGGUUUCCUCUGCCAGGGAGCAGGCUGGGGAAGAUGGGAGAUUUGGUUUCUAUGGAUACUGGCUGGCUGGGAUUUGCAUAAUGUAGUGCAGAGAACAGACAGUCUGGGAACACUGUAGACCAGGGAGGAACACAGAGGCACAUGGAAAUGAGUUGGAGGGCCAGGGUAGCCAGACUCCAUUCAACCCUGUUCUAGGGAAGGAAGUCUGUCCCUUGCUGCUCCCUGAACAGCAGCAGCAUGGAGCCUGAGGAAGGAGGGAGGCAUGUGAACAGCGCCCCCCACAGGGCAUGGCACACACUGGGCUCAACCAAUCCAGGGCUCUUCUGCUUCCUCCCCUGAACUCCACUGUUGGCAAAGGCUGCUCUUCCAUGACCACCUGCUGUGUGGACCUCCAGUUUACUCAAGAGGCAUUCCAAGUAUGUUCUAUUUUAAUCCUUGCUUCCAGCCAACCACCAUGUGAGACAGAUGCAGGAAGCUUAUCAAAGCCCCAUGAGUGAUCCUUCAUAGAGCCAGACCAAAUCCAUUUCCUGGAGUUAAUAUCCCCAGAUCCCAGAGCACCUUCUAGGCUGUACGCCAGUAAAUGUGGCCUAACUGGGACAAUUCAGUUUGAGGGUCUGACCCUAGGUAGGGAGUGUGGGAUAAAGAGGAGAUAUUCUUUUGGAAAUACUGGAGCAGGGUGGGAUUGCCAGGCCGUGUGGACAGAGUGCUCUAGGUGAGGAAGGUUGGGAGUCUGGUGGCUGCCAGGCUUCUGGCUUGAGUGACUGGUGGUGGCCACUGAGGUAGGGACUAGAGAGCAGGUGAGUUUGUGCUGUGCUUGUGGGACUUUCCGGUGGAAGCCUGGAGAAAGCCAUUUGUCACAAGAGCACUGUAACUCAGGGUCUGGAUGUGAGGGAAUGGGGUCAGGAGUCAUUGGCACAUGGUCUUGUUGAGGCCACAGGAGUCUGGGCUCUCACAUGGGAAGUUAAAUAAAGAGAUGGACAAAAUCCUGGGGAGCAAUGACCCUUUAAGAAGUGUGCCCAGGGUUUGGUUAGAGAAAUAAAUUGAGGGCAGAACGGGAACCCAAAGAAGGUGAUGUGACAAGGAAAACAAAAUGACAAUAAUGACAAAAAACAUGUUGAAGGUAGAAGGGAGUGAGCUGUCGGAGAG